AUAAAAUAUUAAAAUAAAAAUAUUAAUUAAAUCCUAAUUAAAAUCUAAUCAAAUUCUAGUCAAAUCCUAGUCAAAUCUUAAUCAAAUCUUAAAUAAAUCUUAGUCAAAUCCUAACAAAUCCUAACCAAAUCCUAAUCAAAUUCUAGACAAACCUUAAUCAAAUUCUAAUCAAAUCCUAAAAAAAUCCUAAUCAAAUCCUAAUCAAAUCCCAAACAAAUCCUAAAAAAAUUCUACAUAAAUCUUAACCAAAUCCUAAACAAAUCCUAAAUAAAUCCUAACCAAAUCCUAAAAAAAUUCCUAAAAAAUCCAAAAUAAAUCCUAAACAAAUCUUUAACAAAUCUUAAACAAAUCCUAA
rnacentral:lncRNA from 1 species